AAACAAUUUCAUAAUCUUAAUCAUUGAUAAGAUAUAUUUAUCAUAUUACCACAAUCAAAAACCUCAAUAAAAAACGUAAGCAAGUAAAAAAAAAGGUCGUCUAUUCCAUUUACAAUGCAGUCUUCAAAGUUUUGUUUAACGCGCUUGAGCAAAUAAAAGUUUUGCUUAAAAUAGAUUUAACCACACAGUGUCAAGUGUCAACCACACAUUGUCAACUCAUUAAGCACGUCGGUGGCGAACCUUUGGCUCACGGCUAUUUGAGCAGUUUAACUUUUCCCCAAUGAGAUUCCAUCAAAAAACAUAAUUCAAUAAUGACGAUCAUAUAAACGAAUUCAUGCCGUAAAGAAAUCUCUUGUAGAGAAGUAUAACAAGGAUGAAAUACAAAAGUAGCCGAAGAUGUUUUUGAUGAGAGCGGUGUUUUGCUUCUCAAUUUUCCUGAUUUGUUAACGCUUGCAUAAUGCUACAGGAGUCCUUUAUUGGUGUAGACGAUUGAAGCGUUUUAUUUAAAUUAUGUAUCUUUUUUGUAUAUGUGAUUAGUAUAAUUUUUUCCACAUUUUUAUGAAUUAAAAUACUUGAUGUCAUCUUUUUUUUGGAUUACUCUUAAUUAAUUUAAUUAAUACUCUUUGUUUACUCCCAAUAAAAGUAAUAAAUAAGCA
rnacentral:sRNA from 1 species